rnacentral:rRNA from 1 species
AAUAAGCAUCGGCUAACCCUGUGCCAGCAGCCGCGGUAAUACAGGGGAUGCAAGUGUUAUCCGGAAUUAUUGGGCGUAAAGCGUCUGCAGGUUGAUAUUUAAGUCUUUUGUUAAACCUUCGGGCUCAACCCGGAAUCUGCAAAGGAAACUAUAUAUCUUGAGUAUGGUAGGGGUAAAGGGAAUUUCCAGUGGAGCGGUGAAAUGCGUAGAUAUUGGAAAGAACACCAACAGCGAAGGCACUUUACUGGGCCAGUACUGACACUCAGAGACGAAAGCUAGGGGAGCAAACAGGAUUAGAUACCCUGGUAGUCCUAGCUGUAAACGAUGGAUACUAGAUGUUGUGUACCUUCGGGUAUGCAGUGUCGUAGCUAACGCGUUAAGUAUCCCCCCCUGGGGAAGUAUGCUCNCAAGANUGAAACUCAAAGGAAUUGACGGGG